GGGACGCUUCGGCCGAGGAUACCGCAAUGGAUCAGGAAGAGGGGCUGAAGGCCUUGGACAAUAUUGUCACUCAAUUCAACACCUAUGAAGAUUUCCUGGACUCGCAGAUCACUACUGUGGACUUGUACUACCUGGAGGAUGAAACCCUGGCCCGCCAGUUGGUGGAGCUAGGCUACCGAGGGACUGGAGAGAGAGUGAAAAGGGAAGAUUUUGAAGCAAGGAAAGCAGCUAUAGAGAUUGCAAGACUGGCUGAAAGAGCUCAGCAAAAGACCCUAACAAGUGCUGGUAAAGACCUACAAGAUAAUUUUCUGAUGGCGCUGGCAACGAGAGAAGAAGACAAUCGCAGUGGAAAACUGAGUAUACUGGAACCCAUCUUGAAUCAUGCUAUGGACUGCAAGUCUGUGACCUCCCCACCUGAAUUCAUACGUUGAAAUCUUCACUCCCUAAGUGAUAGUAUUAGGAGGUGAGAGCCUUUGAAGGGCAAUUACAUCA
rnacentral:sRNA from 1 species